UCGUGCUAGACGGGGAGCUAGCGGUGCCCUGUACCCGCAAUCCGCUUUAGCGGGGUUGAAUUCCCUCGUGAGGUCCGACCCUGUAGGACUGCUGCGGUGGAACGGUGUUGAGAGUUGGGUCCCAUGCGUCAGAAGUCUGCGAACCCCGCCAGGACCGGAAGGUAGCAACGGUAAGGAGUCCCUUCUGAGCGACGUGGGAGCGCCUGGCUGGAGCCGCGAAUCUGCGGCAAGCUGGAGAGUCGCUGAUCGAAUCGGGGGUGCACGA
rnacentral:SRP_RNA from 1 species